GAUGAACGCUAGCGGGAGGCUUAACACAUGCAAGUCGAGGGGUAUUGUAGCAAUACAUUAGACCGGCGCACGGGUGAGUAACGCGUAUGCAACCUGCCGUUAACCGGGGGAUAGCCCGUCGAAAGGCGGAUUAAUACCCCAUAAUAUUGGGAUUCUGCAUGGGAUUUCAAUUAAAGCUGAGGUGGUUAAUGAUGGGCAUGCGUGACAUUAGCUAGUUGGUAGGGUAACGGCCUACCAAGGCUACGAUGUCUAGGGGUUCUGAGAGGAAGGUCCCCCACACUGGUACUGAGACACGGACCAGACUCCUACGGGAGGCAGCAGUGAGGAAUAUUGGUCAAUGGGCGAGAGCCUGAACCAGCCAUCCCGUGUGCAGGAAGACGGCCCUAUGGGUUGUAAACUGCUUUUGCGCAUGAAGAAUGUUACCGACGUGUCGGUAAGUGACGGUAAUGCGUGAAUAAGCAUCGGCUAACUCCGUGCCAGCAGCCGCGGUAACAC
rnacentral:rRNA from 1 species